GAUUAACGCUGGCGGCGUGCAUAACACAUGCAAGUCGAACGAUGAAACUUUAAUGAACCCUUCGGGGAGAAUUAAAGCGGAUUAGUGGCGAACGGGUGAGUAACGCGUGAGUAACCUGCCUUACACAAGGGGAUAGCCUUUGGAAACGAAGAAUAAUACCCUAUAAAACCAUAAAAGCACAUGCAAUUAUGGUCAAAGUGAUAGUGGUGUAAGAUGGACUUGCGUCUGAUUAGCUAGUUGGUGAGAUAAAAGCCCACCAAGGCAACGAUCAGUAGCCGGCUUGAGAGAGUGUACGGCCACAUUGGGACUGAGACACGGCCCAGACUCCUACGGGAGGCAGCAGUGGGGAAUUUUGCACAAUGGGGGAAACCCUGAUGCAGCGACGCCGCGUGAUUUAGAAGGCCUUCGGGUUGUAAAAAUCUUUUGUAUAGGAAGAAAAUGACAGUACUAUACGAAUAAGGUCCGGCUAAUUACGUG
rnacentral:rRNA from 1 species